UUAUUGAAAAGAGCGGGUAUCAGGCACUGCCGUGGGUGAGGUACAUUACGAUGGCAGGCGAGUAUGAAUUAAGACUCAUCUAAUCGUCUUUCUGGUACUGAUCGUCACUUGGAUCAUGGCCGUGCGGUAUUGCUUAUGUUUUUGGCAGUGAAAUUUUGCGAUUUAUCAGUCUUGUGUCUUGUAAUCAAACAUCAGUGGGUAGUGCAACAAAUUGUUAGUUAUUUGAAGAUUAUAAGAUUUAUUAUUGA
rnacentral:misc_RNA from 1 species